UUUUACUCCUAACUUCUCUAAGUGGGCCUUACCAUUCUGUAGACAUAAAGGCCUCCCUUAUAUAGAGACUAUCCCAAAAUAGUAAAAAUCUUCCUGAGGUAAUAAUGGGAUGGAAUGUGGUUGUUAUGGGAAUCUCAAGAAUAAUGUGCUGAUUCCAGAAGGAACCACCAUUUUGAGCCAGAAAUUAUAGAAAGAUUUAUCUUACCUGGCCCUUUGAUAUGAUUUUAGCCCUGGAGCAUCGACCACUUAAAGAUUAAGCCAAGGAAAAUGUGCCAAAAAUCUUGUCACAAAAUUGGGAUGCACCCAAGCCAGACCAGCAGAUGGAAGUUGGCACAGAAUGGCUCUCUACUCACUAAGUAGCUGACUCAGAAGAAAGCUUAACUCGGAUGAAUUUAUUAAAUGUUGAAUAUCCUCCCAAAUAAGAUGGAUGGUAGAUUUAAGUCAGCAGAUACAAUUUAAUUUACUUUAACUUCCCGAUAGUCUUGGAUAAUGUUAAAGCUGUCCACAUUUCUGGAAUUAAAGAGAAAGAUUCCACAGAUGUCCAACAAUAAACUAUAACAUAUAGUGAUUGUCUAGAAGGUCUCAAGAUCUAAGAACAACGAUAGUUGGAGUGGUGAUAUAUUAGAAACAAAUCCUUAUAUCAUGCAGUGUACUUUAACACCAUGCUUCAUAUAGAGCAAAGCUUACUGCUACUACUUCCAUCUGCUGCCUGAGUGUCUAACUACUAGGGCUCUUUAUUAGGAAGAAAGGAAGGAGAAGCCCAAGAGUGUGAACCUCAGAGAUGUUCCCUGCUUCAGUCACUAGAAAAUCUAGAGAAGGAGAAAAAGAAAAAAAAAUCAUAAUCUUGCCCUGCCUUGGAACAUGACAAAAUUAAUGAGGCAUCAAGACCACUUCCUGCUGUAAAGGGUUCACCUAGCAGAUAGUUUAAGACUUUGGGUUUUAUGAUGACUUAGAAGCCUUUCUUCUCUCAAACACUUUGAGUCAGCAUGCAUGAUGCCAUUAUGCACAACACCAAGCGAUAAUUCAUCUUUGUGGAAGACAGAGACAUCUUAUGUAUUAAUUAGAAAGCCUUUCACUGGCUGGUGCACAGGAACAGGAUCCAAAUGCAGCUAGUGAUUUCCAGGAAGAGAAAGCCAGUUACAAGGGACUUCUUACCUGAUCUGUGAUCAGCCAACGACUGAACUUUGCUUUCAUCUGGCACUGAGGAGAAGAAAUAAAAGAGACAAGGAUUAGACCUGCCUGGAAAUCUGACAUUUUAAAACAAUACGUUAAUAUAGAUUUACAACAAAUUAAAUCUUUUACUGGCAAAGAUUUGAGAUUUGUUUUCUUCCAGCCUAUCCUGGGGUGCCUCAAUUUUAUCCACAGACAUUUUAUAGUCAACUAUGAAGAGCUAUGUUUAUUAGGCCUUCAAUGAAUGUAACGCUUAUUAAAAAAAUGUCAUUACUUGUA